UCUGCCUCUCCCUCACCCUCGCCGCCCCACCGGCAGCCGAGGAGUAGAUUUGGGGAGGAGGAGGGUGGGGUUGGCUCUCGGCGACCGCCAACACCAGCAGCGCCGCCGCCGCCGCCACAGCGCUCCCAAAUUCGCCUCCGUCCGGCAUUCCGGCUCCUCAGCAGCCCUCGAGGCUUCGCGCCCCGCAGCGGGAAAGCAGGACUCUCCGGGCGCGAGCGUAAAAAUAUAAUAAUAAAGCGCGGAAGGGAGAGAGAGAGAGAGAAGAGCCGCCUCAGCGCGCCGCUACCACCAGCAGCAAGACCGGCGGCAGCGGCUUGUCUUGCUUGCUUCCUUCGCCAGCCUGGGAGCUCUGCCCGCAGCCGCUCGGAGGAGCCUCUUGGCAGCUUCCCGCGUCAAGGUGAUGGUGAACUGAAACAGGACUCUGUAUCAUGCCUUGAAGUAAGUAGAGUUUGUAUCUUAGUGUUGUUGCUUAUUCUGUCGCAUCAUAAUGAUUUAUCUCUUAAUAUUUUGUCCCAAGCUUCUUCUGAAAAAUGGCAACUUGUCAUGACAGAUGGGUCUGUACAAAUGCUUGUUUAUUUUCAUCUGAGGCAAGAUCAGGGAAGGGGGGCUGUUCACACGAUAAGUUCUGAAAAAAACAACACUUUAACCUAUCAUUUGUUCAGACUUACAAUGUGAGAUUCAGAAUUUGAACUGAGUUGAAUUAGAGGUUGGCAGUCACUGAGUGAAUCAGAAGUUCUGGACGGAUUCACAUAGACCCUACUUGGUACCUUAGGUUGAAAGCAUUGGGAGUGUGGAG
rnacentral:lncRNA from 1 species